UUUAUUCUUACCCUCUGCAGGUUUAGUUUACAGUGAUGACGACUGCGACGAUGAUGACGACGACUGUCCAAAAGGCAGUGGAGUGGUAAUACUGGGGAUCAUCUUUGGUUCUAUAGCAGGCAUUCUCAUCAUCUUGAUCAUAAUAACCGUCGUUUGUGUCAAAUUCUGUAAAACAAAGAAGCAUGGUGCCGUGAUAAGUCCCGGAAGUGGAAAUACAAAUCCAGUUUCUCAAGGAUACACACGCCCACCUCAUGUCUACACCGUUGGAUACACAUAUUCCUCCCCAACCGCCCCUACCUAUUCAGAGGUGACCUCUCAAACGUUCAUCACACCCUCCACUGGUGGUUUCCACUCCACCACAGAAAAUGUACCACCACCGCCAUCUUAUGAAGAGUUUUUAUCUAAUAGCACGUCACCACCAAAAUAUUAGUAUCUUCUGUCACAUGAGAACUUGUCUUCGCUGCUGUGCAGCAUCAUUUGUAAAAGAAAACAACAGAUCAUGGGCGUACCUAUCGUUUUUCAUUGAAUCUCUCAGUCACUGUGCCACUUUAAACAUUUUUGUUAGAAUAUGAAUAAUAUUCUGUUGUUAUUCAGUUUUGUUUUGGAUAUAUCUAUAAGAUGCUUUAAUCUAGCGGAUUUUCUAUCAUGAUGAAUGUUCUUGAUAUUCAUCAUUAUUUCUAACGUUAACUUAAAAAAGAAAGAUCUGUACAUAUCUAAGCAAGGUUGUUUUGCAGAUAAGGCAUUACAUUUAUUGAAUGUUUGUUCAUUCAUAUUUUGUAUUUUCAAAUUGAAAUUUAUAUGUGUGUUGCCAAAACGGGUUUUAUCGAAUUGAAGAGAUAUUAAUUGUAUACCUAUUAUAAUAUUAUAAUGAAAAUCCAAGACGGAGAAGUUUAUUUAAGAAUGUGUACACU